AACGCUAGCUACAGGCUUAACACAUGCAAGUCGAGGGGCAGCAUUAUCGAAGCUUGCUUUGAUAGAUGGCGACCGGCGCACGGGUGAGUAACGCGUAUCCAACCUUCCCAUGUCCACGGGAUAGCCCGUCGAAAGGCGGAUUAAUACCGUAUGAGGUCAUUUGAUGGCAUCUGAUUAUGACGAAAGGUUUAGCGGAUAAGGAUGGGGAUGCGUUCCAUUAGAUAGUCGGUGUGGUAACGGCUCACCGAGUCUAUGAUGGAUAGGGGUUCUGAGAGGAAGGUCCCCCACAUUGGAACUGCGACACGGUCCAAACUCCUACGGGAGGCAGCAGUGAGGAAUAUUGGUCAAUGGGCGAGAGCCUGAACCAGCCAAGUAGCGUGCAGGAUGACGGCCCUAUGGGUUGUAAACUGCUUUUAUGCGGGGAUAAAGUGUGGGAUGCGUCCCGUUUUGCAGGUACCGCAUGAAUAAGGACCGGCUAAUUCCGUGCCAGCAGCCGCGGUAAUACGGAAGGUCCGGGCGUUAUCCGGAUUUAUUGGGUUUAAAGGGAGCGUAGGCUGGGGUCUAAACGUGUUGUGAAAUGUAGGCGCUCAACGUCUGAAUUGCAGCGCGAACUGGUCCCCUUGAGUUCGCUGGAAGUAGGCGGAAUUCGUGGUGUAGCGGUGAAAUGCUUAGAUAUCACGAAGAACUCCGAUUG
rnacentral:rRNA from 1 species